rnacentral:rRNA from 1 species
AGAGUUUGAUCCUGGCUCAGGAUGAACGCUGGCGGCGUGCCUAAUACAUGCAAGUCGAGCGAACGGACGAGAAGCUUGCUUCUCUGAUGUUAGCGGCGGACGGGUGAGUAACACGUGGAUAACCUACCUAUAAGACUGGGAUAACUUCGGGAAACCGGAGCUAAUACCGGAUAAUAUUUUGAACCGCAUGGUUCAAAAGUGAAAGACGGUCUUGCUGUCACUUAUAGAUGGAUCCGCGCUGCAUUAGCUAGUUGGUAAGGUAACGGCUUACCAAGGCAACGAUGCAUAGCCGACCUGAGAGGGUGAUCGGCCACACUGGAACUGAGACACGGUCCAGACUCCUACGGGAGGCAGCAGUAGGGAAUCUUCCGCAAUGGGCGAAAGCCUGACGGAGCAACGCCGCGUGAGUGAUGAAGGUCUUCGGAUCGUAAAACUCUGUUAUUAGGGAAGAACAUAUGUGUAAGUAACUGUGCACAUCUUGACGGUACCUAAUCAGAAAGCCACGGCUAACUACGUGCCAGCAGCCGCGGUAAUACGUAGGUGGCAAGCGUUAUCCGGAAUUAUUGGGCGUAAAGCGCGCGUAGGCGGUUUUUUAAGUCUGAUGUGAAAGCCCACGGCUCAACCGUGGAGGGUCAUUGGAAAAUGAAAACUUGAGUGCAGAAGAGGAAAGUGGAAUUCCAUGUGUAGCGGUGAAAUGCGCAGAGAUAUGGAGGAACACCAGUGGCGAAGGCGACUUUCUGGUCUGUAACUGACGCUGAUGUGCGAAAGCGUGGGGAUCAAACAGGAUUAGAUACCCUGGUAGUCCACGCCGUAAACGAUGAGUGCUAAGUGUUAGGGGGUUUCCGCCCCUUAGUGCUGCAGCUAACGCAUUAAGCACUCCGCCUGGGGAGUACGACCGCAAGGUUGAAACUCAAAGGAAUUGACGGGGACCCGCACAAGCGGUGGAGCAUGUGGUUUAAUUCGAAGCAACGCGAAGAACCUUACCAAAUCUUGACAUCCUUUGACAACUCUAGAGAUAGAGCCUUCCCCUUCGGGGGACAAAGUGACAGGUGGGGCAUGGUUGUCGUCAGCUCGUGUCGUGAGAUGUUGGGUUAAGUCCCGCAACGAGCGCAACCCUUAAGCUUAGUUGCCAUCAUUAAGUUGGGCACUCUAAGUUGACUGCCGGUGACAAACCGGAGGAAGGUGGGGAUGACGUCAAAUCAUCAUGCCCCUUAUGAUUUGGGCUACACACGUGCUACAAUGGACAAUACAAAGGGCAGCGAAACCGCGAGGUCAAGCAAAUCCCAUAAAGUUGUUCUCAGUUCGGAUUGUAGUCUGCAACUCGACUACAUGAAGCUGGAAUCGCUAGUAAUCGUAGAUCAGCAUGCUACGGUGAAUACGUUCCCGGGUCUUGUACACACCGCCCGUCACACCACGAGAGUUUGUAACACCCGAAGCCGGUGGAGUAACCUUUUAGGAGCUAGCCGUCGAAGGUGGGACAAAUGAUUGGGGUGAAGUCGUAACAAGGUAGCCGUAUCGGAAGGUGCGGCUGGAUCACCU